GAAGAUUCUAUGUAUUGAAAGAAACCAAACACAAUAUGAUAUUGCAGUGGAUGGAUCAUCCUGGUAUCCAGCAGUUAUCAAUUUACGGUUUUCUUCAAACAGAUUUUCCUUGGCUACAUCUCAGCAGAGAAGAAAGAAUAUCUCCCCAUAGAGCCUUGGGGGACCCUGCACUGCAGCAUCCAGAGCCAGUUGGCCCAGGCAUGCUUGGACCUGAGAUAAGGUGUAUGCAGACAGGAACAGCCAUACUCUCUAUCCUCACUCCAGGUUACAGGACUGAUCCUGAACAUGAUGUCUCGUCAGUCCAUGGCAUAUGUAUAUGCAUCAAACUGUCCGGAAAUGACAAAUCAGAUCAAACUUCUAUCAGCCUUGGCAUCUUGUUUCUGGCAGAGGCAAUUAGAAGAUGUUAGUAGACAAUAUAACAGUUUUAUCAAUAAAUACUUUUACAUUCUGUUACA
rnacentral:lncRNA from 1 species